UACGUAGGGUGCGAGCGUUGUCCGGAAUUACUGGGCGUAAAGAGCUCGUAGGUGGUUUGUCGCGUUGUUCGUGAAAUCCCACGGCUUAACUGUGGGCGUGCGGGCGAUACGGGCAGACUGGAGUACUGCAGGGGAGACUGGAAUUCCUGGUGUAGCGGUGGAAUGCGCAGAUAUCAGGAGGAACACCGGUGGCGAAGGCAGGUCUCUGGGCAUUAACUGACGCUGAGGAGCGAAAGCAUGGGGAGCGAACAGG
rnacentral:rRNA from 1 species